rnacentral:rRNA from 1 species
UACGGGGGGGGCAAGCGUUGUUCGGAAUUACUGGGCGUAAAGGGCUCGUAGGCGGCCAACUAAGUCGGAUGUGAAAUCCCCAGGCUCAACCUGGGAACUGCAUCCGAUACUGGAUGGCUUGAAUUCGGGAGAGGGAUGCAGAAUUCCAGGUGUAGCGGUGAAAUGCGUAGAUAUCUGGAGGAAUACCGGUGGCGAAGGCGGCAUCCUGGACCGAGAUUGACGCUGAUGCGCGAAAGCCAGGGGAGCAAACGGG